rnacentral:sRNA from 1 species
CAACUGAGGCAGAAAUAAUGCCCCAUUCCAGCCACAGAUACUUCCAAUACCAGGGCAGACCCAGCUGUCUGACCUUCACUUGCUAUAUUUGGUCAUGAACUGAGUGGUUGGUCUUACAGAUCCAGGUCUCCUCUAGGCCCAUAGGUGAAGGCCACUGAGCUGUAGGUUCCCUGGGGUGGAGCCUGAAUAGCUUCUUGUUCCCACUGGGCUGGGAAUUUCAGGGAGCUCCCUGACCAGCUGUAGUUAGUACACUAAGGACAGGGGUAAGGCCGGGUUUGUGUGAUUGUUCUGUGUCCAUGCUGACUUUCUGUCUUGCCCUGGGAACACCACUCUGGCCAUGGCAGGAACCUCUAAUGUUGACCUUCACCUAGACAACCUCUUGAAUCUCCAGUUCGGGGCACAGACUGGCUUAGAACCAUUGGUGGUCUUUGGACUGCCCAGGGAAAUAUACCUGCCAGCUGCAGCCCUCUUCCACAGUUAGAGGGCCCACAGAGCAUGUCCUGGUGCUGGGAGAAGAGGAAUAUCCAUUCUAUCCACAAGGAAAGGGGUGUCAUAGGAAAGCAGGGAUACCAGUGUCAAGUUUGCACCUGUGUGGUCCACAAGCGAUGCCACGAGCUCAUAAUCACGAAGUGUGCUGGGUUAAAGAAGCAGGAGACCCCUGACCAGGUGGGCUCCCAGCGGUUCAGCGUCAACAUGCCCCACAAGUUCGGUAUCCACAACUACAAGGUCCCCACCUUCUGCGAUCACUGUGGGUCCCUGCUCUGGGGACUCUUGCGGCAGGGUUUGCAGUGUAAAGG